GAUGAACGCUGGCGGCGUGCCUAAUACAUGCAAGUCGAGCGAACAGAUGAGGAGCUUGCUCCUCUGACGUUAGCGGCGGACGGGUGAGUAACACGUGGAUAACCUACCUAUCAGACUGGGCUAACUUCGGGAAACCGGAGCUAAUACCGGAUAAUAUAUUAAACCGCAUGGUUCAAUAGUGAAAGACGGUUUUGCUGUCACUUAUAGAUGGAUCCGCGCCGCAUUAGCUAGUUGGUAAGGUAACGGCUUACCAAGGCAACGAUGCGUAGCCGACCUGAGAGAGUGAUCAGCCGCACAGGAGCAUCGGCCUCGGCCAGAAUCCUACGGGAGGCAACAGUGUGGAAUCUUGCACCACGAGCGUAAACCUAAUGUGACACAGCCGCAUGCGAGAUCAAGGUGUUCGGGUCGUAAAAAUCAGUUAUUUGGGAAGAACCAAUGUCUAAAGAUCUAUGCACAUCCUGACGUUACCUGAUCAGAAAGCCACGGCUAGCUACGUG
rnacentral:rRNA from 1 species